GAUGAAGAACGUAGUGAAAUGCGAUAAGUAAUGUGAAUUGCAGAAUUCAGUGAAUCAUCGAAUCUUUGAACGCACAUUGCGCCCGUCAGUAUUCUGGCGGGCAUGCCUGUUCGAGCGUCAUUACGCCCCUCAAGUCCCCUGUGGACUUGGUGUUGGGGAUCGGCGAGGCUGGUUUUCCAGCACAGCCGUCCCUUAAAUUGAUUGGCGGUCUCGCCGUGGCCCUCCUCUGCGCAGUAGUAAAACACUCGCAACAGGAGCCCGGCGCGGUCCACUGCCGUAAAACCCCCCAACUUUUUAUAGUUGACCUCGAAUCAGGUAGGACUACCCGCUGAACUUAAGCAUAUCAAUAAGCGGAGGA
rnacentral:misc_RNA from 1 species